GGCGCUUCUGGGAUUACUGUGGACCGAGUUCUUCCCAGGUGUGCAUGAGGCGGUUGUGUCUCCUACUCUGUGAACCAUCUGGUUGUGCUGUCUAAGGAGGCCCCUGAGAAGGCCCAACUUCACCGCUUGUGGUUUUAUUUUCUCCUCUACACCAGGUCUGGAAGAUGUCAACCACAGAGGACUCCUGGGCUGUUCUAGGGAGUUGGGCUGUUGUCCUGAGGGCAAUGGAGAGCCACUGACCCAUUUGAUGGAAGAGAAUGACCAGAGCAGAUUUGCACCUGUGGAAGAUCUCCCUGGCACAGUGGGGAGCACGGGCUAGAGAGGACAAGGCCAGGGGAUAAACCAGGAGUUGGCAUGAAGAAGAUUUGUAAUUCUGGACAACUGGACUCGAAACCACCAUGAUGCCUCACUGCAUCCCCGACUUGGGAAAUCCAAGUCAUCAUUUGUAAUGAUCUUCUGCAUCAUUCAGGUGUCAUUCAGUACUCACUAAUUUGCUUUCUACACGGCUUUUCCAAAAUAGCUGGCAUCUGCAGCACUCUGGGCUGGAAACUUUCCGGGGGUGAAGAUGGUGUAGGCGCAUCCAGUGUGGACAGGAGGUGCCAGUUUAAAGGAUGACUGUUCAUGGCCACCUCACAAUCUGUGCACCCCCCUGGUGCCCAAGUAGCAGGGACAGGGCUGUGAACUUCCUGCAGGGACCAAACCCCACUAUUGGCAGCUGCUGGUCUUUGUGAUUGCUCCUAUGUUAGGCUUGGGGGACAGAAGACAUUUUUCUUUUGCUGAAACCCGAAGGGGAACAAAUCAUGUAAAACUUGGCUUGUAAAUCUUCCCUUUCCCUCUAAGGAAAACCUCUGCAAUCAUUCUGCAAAGUAUUCUCUCUCCUUUUGUCCUGUUUAAGAUUCGGGUGUUGACAACUUCCCUUUGGGAGACCAUAUUAGGGUCUCAGAUUUCACCAUCA
rnacentral:lncRNA from 1 species